UGAGGAAUAUUGGGCAAUGCCCGCAAGGGUGACCCAGCAACGCCGCGUGGAGGAUGAAGGUCGUAAGAUUGUAAACUCCUGUUAGAGGGGAAGAAUAACUAAGUUUGGAGCUUAGUAUGACUGUACCCUCAGAGAAAGCCCCGGCUAACUACGUGCCGGCAGCCGCGGUAAUACGUAGGGGGCAAGCGUUGUCCGGAUUUACUGGGUGUAAAGGGCGCGCAGGCGGAAUGGAAAGUCAGUGGUGAAAUCCUACAGCUUAACUGUAGAACUGCCUUUGAUACUUUCAUUCUUGAGUUCGGGAGAGGGAGACGGAAUUCCAGGUGUAGGGGUGAAAUACGUAGAUAUCUGGAAGAACACCAGUUGCGAAGGCGGUCUCUUGGGCCGAUACUGACGCUGAGGCGCGAAAGCGUGGGGAGCAAACAG
rnacentral:rRNA from 1 species